UACGAAGGGGGGCGAGCGUUGUUCGGAUUUACUGGGCGUAAAGAGCGCGCAGGCGGUCGAUCAAGUCGAGUGUGAAAGCCCCCGGCUCAACUGGGGAGGGUCAUUCGAUACUGAUCGACUCGAAGGCAGGAGAGGGUAGUGGAAUUCCCGGUGUAGUGGUGAAAUGCGUAGAUAUCGGGAGGAACACCAGUGGCGAAGGCGACUACCUGGCCUGUUCUUGACGCUGAGGCGCGAAAGCUAGGGGAGCAAACGGGG
rnacentral:rRNA from 1 species